rnacentral:misc_RNA from 1 species
GUGAAUCAUCGAAUUUUUGAACGCAAAUUGCACUCUCUUCUGUGAGUAGGCGUGUUUGAGGGUCAGUAUUAAUAAACAUCGAAGUGUUACUUCUUUGUGACGCUCCGGGGUUUGGGUCAUCUUAGUAUCCUUUAGGUUUUAAGAGGCUUACAAUUGACUUUUUUUGCGCAUUUUAGAUGUAAUUACA